AAAACCCCUCGCCAUGUUGUACGGGCAAAGACGGCUGCCGUCGAAAUGGUAGCAAUCGGAGGAAGAAAAUUUAGCUCCUGCGUUUAAUCAACAACAUUGCACGGUGCAAAAGGCCAAGCGAGAAAAAGUAGCAUUUGACGGAUAAGACUCAUCAACUUAGGAGGCUACGUUGGAUGCGCCCGGAAUAGAGUUGGUUGUUGUUUGCUCUGGAGAGUAGGAUUACCGUAAAGGCCGGAGAGCAUUCCGUAAAAGUAAAAGUAGGCGAGCAAGCAAGGGUUCCGGGAUGGAGGAGGAACUGAGCGAUGGUGACAUCGUGUGGGUGAAGGUGAGCAACAGCUGGUGGCCGGGUGAGGUGAUGGGCAGUUCGCGCCUGACCGAAGAGUUCCUAUCCUCGCUCCGGAAAAAGCCGCUGGCGGUCGUCAAAUUCUUCCAGGAAGAUUCCUACGAAUACGUAAAAAAUCCAAACUUUAUCUUCAAAUAUAACUGUCCGCGCAAGCAUGAAUUUCUUCGCAAAGGUUUAGAACAAUAUCGUGCUAAGAUGAAGCACAUGGAAAAGUUCCCAGCCGAUGUAAUGCACGCCGAACGUGCGACGGGGGGCGAUCCGGAUAUUGUUAAUUCAACUGACUAUUUACCACAGAAGAAAGAACGCCAUUCGGGAGCAUUCCAGGAUGGACGCUCUCCUGCUGGUAAAGGAAAAGGGCUGAAAGAAAAACCUAAUACGCCAGCCAAACUGAACACACCACCGUUCUCGUUCGGGUCGGGACGCAAAACGAUUCACGAAGUUCGUAUUUUAGCGCAACCUUCCAGCACUCCAUCCGAUGGCGAGGCCGGUGUGUCUCUUCCGACAGACAAAACGAGCCCCGCGAUAGGAGCGCAUUCGGUACAGUCAUCUCCCAGCCAGGUGUAUCAUUGUUACAAGUGUAACAAUUACAGUGCCAACAGGCAGAAUUUGAUCAUGCUGCACAUAAAACAUUGCCGAGCAACCUAUGCUAUAGGUAGUGGUGGUGGCGGUGGUGCAGGUGCCAGUGUUGGUGCCGUAUCUUCGGCAAAUACCUCAACUCCAACAGCACCUGCUCGUAAAGCUUCGUCCGAGAAGAUGGAUGAAUCUGCCGAAGAGGUCGACCCCGAGCCGGACAUCAAGCCCGAUCGUGCUCGGCGAUCGUUACCAGUCGCAGACAAAGCAAAACCACUUGAGACGCCGAUCCGUAAUGUCGACGUACCAGCUGCGGUUAAGAGCGAGCCGCCAUCCAGUGAGAAACGAACGCGUGGAGGUCGCAAAACAACACCGACCGUUCAGGCUCCCAAGCAGAAGAAAGGUCGGCAAAAUAAACCCGACCAAUCGUCGUCGGUUCUGGACGAGGGUAAACAGGCCUCUGCCAAAGUAAGCGAACACGAGGACACUCGAGCUUCGGCCAACGUCGACGUUACAGUGGAAGAUGAGAAGGAAGAAAAUCAUCGACAGAACAGAGAAAAGGGCAGCGGCUCGGUUAGUCACGAAGAAUCACCAACCCAGCAUGCCGUUAAGAAUAAAACGGACGUUAAGCUCAAGAACGAACUGCUAGCCGACUGGAGCGAAGACGAGCAAGAGGACGAUGAAGGUGAUAAGUUGGCGGGAGGAGUUGAAAAUGAAGAGGAAAAAAAUCCCACCAAGGAGAGUCGAAAAGAUACUCCCCCAAAAGAUGUUUCGCCGGUUCGAACCACAAAAGCGAGUACCAGAAAACAGCAGAAAGACACAAAGCAAGAAACAAAACAACAGUCACUUGCGUCGAAGAAGACGGCCAAGCCGGAAGCCAAAAAUGAAACCGUUGCAAUGGCCAAGAAGGAUGCGGAGAGUGUUGCAGUGAAAGAAACGGAAAAAGAUCCAGAGAGUCCUCCGGAAAGCAGUACAGUUGUAGCUGCUACGGCCCCACCUGUGACUGCGGCGACUGCUGGCAGUGUUACAGCGGCCGUUGUGUCAACAUCAUCAGCAUCUAGUGCUGCGCCCAUCGUUUCACCGCACGCCACGAUCAAGUACCGGAACAUCCCGAAAAAGCAAAAGCGCGAAUUCAUCGAAGUGACCAACGACGAUGUGUCCAUGGUGCAGGAAAAGUACGCUGUACCAUCGCGCGAAGGAAGCACGGCUAGUAGCUCCUCAACGACAGGUUCGAACGAAUCCUGUGCCGGGCCAUCUCAAAGUAUCGUACCUCCGACAGCACCGGCAGCCGAACGUCCGAUUAGUGCGAAACAGCUCAUACUGAACCGUGCUACCCGUGGUUCCAGCAAGUCGUUAAGUGGCGAUGAAAUCACGGCUGCAAGUGCGCCCGUGCCGGCAGACCACACUACGCCCUCGGUCAGUACGGACACAAACGCUGCGCAGGAGGAACGGAAAUCUCAUAUUGACGAUUCGGCAAAGAAAACGGACGUCCAGCAGCAGGAGACCUCCUGUUUUGAUUUCAAUGACGACGAAGACGUUCACCAGCAGGAAAAGGUAUCACCAGCGUCACAAACAUCCCUAAUGACGGCACGAUUUGAUCGCAAACGAGAUCAAGCGGUGGCGGCCCGAGAAAAACCCACUAACGUAGAGCCGGAACCGUCGGAAGUUGAUCGGGAUGCACAGUUGAGCCAGGAAAUUGAUUCGCUGCUGGGUGAAACGAAUGUACCGAAACUGCCGGAAGAUUUAAGCGACGUAAUGACGGCCGUGUCCGAUAAGAUCGACUGUAAUCGUACCCUUCCGCCGAAGGAACGUGGCAAGCGAAUCUUCAAGACUCGUAACAAGACGGUCACCGCUUCUUCGUCUUCGUCACCAAAACGCGACGACGCUCGCGUCGGCGAAGAGGUAGUUCCUUCGGAGGGAUCCGUUCCAGCAGAGGCGGCGAACAAUAAUGGUGAUUCGAGUUCUUCUGCUGGUGAUGUGGCGAAAGAAAAAACUGAAAUGGAACAGACGCCACAGCAACAAGAAGCUUCUGAAGAGGAAACCGAAACCGUAAAGGGUAAGGACGAAUCCAAGAAUCGGGAAGAUGACCAGAACCCAUCCGUUACAUCGUCUGCGAUGACAGACGAAGUUCUACCCGAGGACAAGGAGCUGCAGCAGAAGCAGCAGCACCAAUCUGCCAAGAAAAAACGGAAAUCGGACGAAGUACUACUUCCUGAUAGCAGCGGUAACGGUGAUCAGCCGACCGUGCCUGCAGCAACACGCCGUCGCGGCAAGUAUAGUAAAGCCGUGACGGAUGUGCAUGAAAAGUCGACGGGCGAGAAAUCUGUAUCCACACAGUCAGUAUCGGAGGCUCGCGAACCCUCGUCAGUGUCGCGCAAAGCAAAAAGGGUUCGUAAGGAAGGGCCAGAAUUGGAUGAGGCCACACCCGCCAACACGGACGAUAGCGACAAAAGUAGCGCUGAAGUUGCAAAAGUAACAAAACGAGUCGUUUCUAGCGAAAUAGAAACGAGUGUAGCAAUGGAUACGGCAGAAGCUACCGAUAAUUCGAAUGAUUUAUCUGCUGUUGAAAAGGAAGAAGCUACCGAUGGUGCGCUGGCCAAACAUUUGAAAACAAAUCACGAGGAAAGCGCAGAUACACAGCAAGAUGCAGCCGCCACCACGCUUCUGACAUCGAAAGCUACACCGACAGAUCUGCAGGUAGCGGAAGCGUUGAUAAAUCUACCGGUCGUGGUAACAGCGCCGCUACCCGUGAGCAGCAGCAGUUCCAGUUCCGCCGUGGACGAAGAUGUUGCAUCAAAAGCAAAGGUUGUGGCUGUAGAACCAGCAAAAGAAGCAGAUACGACUGCUAGCUCCAGCACUCAAGCGGUAUCAGUCUCGGUAGAGUGUGCCGGGCAACCGACACCAAACAACACUAGCAGCAGCAGCAGCAACAAUAGUAGCACUUCGAAAAGCAUUAACCCUCGGAAGCGACAUCUUCAAUCGAUGAUGCUGACCACUUCAGAAGCGACGAACCUACCGCAGUCGAAGAAAGUGGCGGCUGUUGUGGAACCACCAAUGACGACAAGUGGAAUCGAAAAAGAAAUUACCACCGUCAAGGUGGUUUUGCCGCCCGAGGAAGACCCUCCAUCCAUUCCAGAGAAGAAGAAGCGUAACGAAGUGUUGACCGAUGGCGAGGAGAUGGCAUCGAAAGAAUCUUCCCCAGUGUCGGCGGAAGUUGAAAAGCUUGACAUCAACAGUAUGCCAAUCGUAAUGGAUGAAGGUGAGCUGUUGGUAGAUGGCACAUCCUCCAUUCCCGCUCCCGCUGGCGCCAUUACGGUCAUGAAGAGUGUCAACGGUGCUGGAGGUGGGGCCGCCAAGCCGCCGCUGGUAGCGGCCUCCUCAAAAGAUAAACGGCAAACGACGGUGGCGAUGGUAAAGGGAGGCAAAGCUUCCACCGAGCAAAUUGUGAUAACGAGCAAGGGUACCGUACUAACCACAUCGACAGCGAGCGUAACCGUCGCGUCGAAAUUCCCCAGCUCCACUAAAUCGUCGGUAACGGUGACGAGCGCAAUAACACUUUCUUCCAGCUGCCGUGUCGCCAGCUCCACGCCAGCGCCAAGCGUGUCCUCUCCACCAUCGUCCGCUUCGUCGGCAGCCGCCCCGCAGUUAGUACCACCAAAGAUCAUUAUAACGAAGAAGCCGCUACCGCACGCUGCAUCCACUUCUACGGCUUCGUCCAAGGCGGGCAGCGCCGAGGGCUCCGUCGGUUCGAAAGCGCACGACCGUCGCGUGUCCGGCGACGGUGCUUCGUCCUCGGUGUCUUCUUCCUCUGGCAGCGAAACGAUCACCGGCAAGAAAAGUCACCGCGUGCUCAGACUUACGCCGCAAAAGCUGAAAGAAUUUAGCCGCCUCGGUUACAUCGAGGAGCGGCAAGGCAAGGGCAAAAUGCUGACCAAGAGUGGGAUGCGGCAGUUGUACGGAAAGCAACAGCAGCUGCAACAACAGCAGCAGCAGCAGCAACAGCAACAACAGCAGCAACAACACGUUUCGAGGAAGAAGCCCGUCCCAAUUUCCACAAAGAUCAUCACGACGACGGGUGGUGGUGGUGCGGAUCACGCUGUGGCACCCGAUAGCAACAGUAGUAGCGCCCGGCCGACAUCACUGCCCGAGGUUGCUUCCUCCGGUAGCAAUGUGGUGAUUGCGGCAGCUGCCGAUUCGUCCGUGCAGGAAUCAUCCACCACGGUUGGACGCACCGCAUCGACGGAUCCAAGCGCGGUGGACAUGGAGGAGGACGAAGAGAUGCUCGAGCAGCAAAAGGUUUCCUCGGGGGAGGCGGGAGAGCUUCCUGCGUCGACGCAUGUCGCCCCCGCCGGCGGUGCGGCUAUUCUGUUGGAGGGUUCACCGUCCAGUAGCGGAGCUGGUGCAGCGGAAGUAAUCCUCGGCUCGAGUGAACUAGCCGUCGUUGGUGGAGGAUCCGUGACGGAGGCCAGCAGCAGCAGUACCGGUGGCAGUGGCAGCGGGACCACAGCAACUGGGGAGCAAGAAUCAUCUCAGCUGAUCGCCGUACCUGCCGAGAACUUUGGUGGGCCACCGCACCUGUUUUACCUGUGCUCGGUGCGCGACGAGAGUCUCGUGCCAGUGAACAACGAGCUGCUCUACCUGGACGCUUCGAAUCAGCUGGUAGCGCUGCCCGAGCAGCACCAGCAACAUCCCACCCAGCAGCAGCAGCAUCAAGGCCAGCAGCAGCAGCAGCAACAGGCGGCGGGAACAUUGACGGAAGAGAUUAUCAACCAGGCGGAAGUGAUCAUCCCUACCGUGGGCGGUAGCAAUGGAGCAGAGAUGGGGGGUGAUGGAACCGGCGAAGGUGGCACUACUGCCAUCGCCAACGCAACCGGUGCCGUGGGAAGCGACGGUGCGCAGGAAGGCUUCGUGUUCAACACACAGGACGGGCAGCAUAUCAUACUCGAUCCGCAGAGCUUGAUGGCGCUGGCGGCCAGUGGCGAUACGCCGCACCUGAUAACUGCGGACGGCCAAGAGAUCAUACUGCAAGAAACGGCACAGGAGUGGUUAGCGGCACUAUCCGCAGGCCAACACGCGCAGCAACAGCAAGCCGGAGCAGUUAGCACGCUGGUUACGCCGGAAGGGACACAAAUUAUCGUCGCACAUGAGAAUGCUGGCCUGAUUGAGCUGCAAGAACAUCCGGUACUACUACCGACGGAGAUCAUCCAGGUGAACCCUAACACCACGGUCGAAACCAACGCCGUGCUAACGAAACCCCCGAUCAUGUCGACCGUUGAGGUGCCGACCAAGAACGGCAUCGAAUCGGCCAGCCGAAUCGGGGAUAGAAAAUUGGCUGCUGCCGUGGCUCCUCGAAUGGCUUCCGGCAGCACUACUCCUGCCGCUGGAGCAUCGUCCACUAGCAGCAGCAGCAGCUGCAGCAGCGGUAAAGCUUUAACAUCCACGAUUACCGCUGGCUCGGGUUCGAAUCUCGACGAAACACUGGCAGCCGUCAUCGGGCAUGUGCCGAGCAAUCCGCACGUGCCGACCUCGCUCGAGCUACCGAUCACCGUUACCAAUCCGGUCAUUGCGAAAACGAGCACCGCUAGCAGCAGACUCAAUGCGACGGCACCGCUCUUUCCCCUGACGACGACGGCCGCUACGGUCGUUUCUUCGUUUGCGGACGCUAUACCAGCUGCGGCAACCGUGGUCCUAGUGUCCGGAGCUGAUGCCCCAGGUACGAUCGAUCAUGUUCCCCAUCCUCGUUCUCCAUCUCCAUUCGCAGCAGCGUCGUGUCCUUCUCCAGCAGCGGAGGGGCAGGAGGCGAGAAAGGAUAACGGUGCAGAGCAGGAAGAGUUAGAGAAAGAGUCCGAAGAAGCAAGCAUGAUGACUGUUCAGCAAGAAGAGGGUAAUGACGAUGGCGACCACGCCGACGAUGGUGGUGGUGACGCGUCGGGGAAGGAAAAAUCAGCCUGCUUCGAUGAGGAUGAUAUUCAAAUUCCCAGCACACCGGAAUCGGCUCCGAACAACGACGAAAGGCAGCAGCAGCAGUACGAUGACGAGUUGAUGGCAAGCGAUGAGGAACAGCGUGAACCAAACGAGAAUCAUCUGCUGUUGGCGAAUGAGAACUCGAACUGUAGCGAAAUCAUUGCCAUCCAGCCGAACGUGGUCGUGCUCGAUGGUGACAUGCUACUAAACUCACCUGCAAACGAAGACGAUGACGCAGAUGAUGAUGAUGGCAUCGAUGAUGAUCUGAUGAUGGAGAACGAAAGUGAAGAGGAUGGCGUAAUUACGGUGCAGCAGCAGCAGCAGCAGCAACAGCAGGUGGUGCAAGAUGUGGUUCAGGGCGGCCGUUCCUUCGAUCAGCGACCACCACAGCAGGCUCACAGAGCGCGCAGCCGUGUGCCACCGGCGGCAAAUGGAGCCAACGGCCGGCCGGAUAAUGCGGUGAACUUGGCGGAGCAUCAUAAUAGUAGUAGCAAUAACGAUAGUGGGAUCGAUACCAGCAUGGCCGCCGGUGGUGUUGCGGCAUGUGAAGCCGCUGCUGCCUCUAGUAGCGGUGAAGGUACACCGACCACCGUACGCCGGCCAAUCGUCGAACGAUAAGCGGUCCGGCGAGUUUGAUUUCAGACGUUUCUUUUGCCUGUGUGUGUGUUGUGAGUUACCCCCGAAAUCAGGCACAUAAUUAUUACAUGGAGCGCGAAGAUUCUCUCAUCUGCUGACAAGUGAAAAAUGGAACAUUUUACGCGUUGGGAGAGGAACCGCAACCGCAGCAAUAGAAUGUGAAUCGAAUUUUAUGACCCCGUUUAACCAGCAUCGUAUUCAUAAGUCUCCAACAAGCAUCACACACACAUACACAUAAUUCGCUCGUGUGUUGCGCUUGUUUUAAGCCUCUGUGACUAAAACAAGAAACAGAAAAUAAUGUACAUUUUAAAUCGUAGAACCAAACAAUCCGUGUGUGGCCGGUGUGGUGUUGCGCUUGCGAUUUUUUUAGUUGGCACGAUUCUUAACGUAUGGCAAUGUUAAGAGAUUCUAUAGAUUUAGCAUGAGUAUGUUUUUAGCACAUGUUUUAGGGAAACAAUUACGUACCGAUCGGUAUCGGUCGGCCCCGUUCAAUGCACACUCGUAAAUCAGGUAGAGAAAGUGUUUGUUUUUUUCAAAUUGAUGUAAGGAUUGUUAGGUGCUAACAGUCAUGACACUAUACUAAAUUACAUUCAAAUUGUGUAGGAUUUCGAAACACCCAGUUGGAGGUGGUAGAUCCAUGAGGACAUGUGCGAUAUUGUGUCGAACUCCACCACCCUCAACUGUGUGUAGACAUUAUUGCGCGGACAGAGAACAACGCCUCGGGAAGGUGUUUCCGGUUUGGCGUGUUUUCGUCAUUUUAGUAGUGUUUGGGAUUUUCAGCAGAACGACCCUUUUUCAGCAGCUGCAGUAUACUGGAAUGCGUUCUUCGCUAGAAGGGAAACAAAGAGCGAAGGCCUUACAAUAGUGUAUAAAUCGAACCCGAUAGGGGUGUGAGCGCUGCGUUACAACUUGUAUACUCUGCAUACCGGGCAGCAGUCUCGCGAUGAAGAAACUUACUUGAAGCUUUGUACAAAUGCAUAAACAAUAAAUGUUAGUAU